CCGGAAGUACAACCUUUUUUAAGACUAGCAGGAAAACCUCGGGCUCGCUUGUGACAGCGUUGCGUUUACUCGCUCCUUCUUUUGACGGAUUUUCUAGUUUAUAAAGUUUCGUUUUACCUCAGUCCUUAAAGAGACGGUAGAAACAACUUCCGAGCGCAAACUCUGCAUUGUUAGAAAGUUUAACGAGGAUAUCCAGACGACGUAGAAGAAGUAGGACCGGGAGAGGACCAGGCCUGCUCCGCUUUAGAAGGUUCCAGAAACCCCGCCCCUUCUCUGACGUCACAUUUCCCCGGUGCGGGACUUUUAAAGAAGAGCGAUCAGCUGCAGUCUGCUCAGCAGUGAGAAAAGAAGACGUCAGUGAUGGACGGAUCAUCGUCAAAGAGAAGAAAAACAAAGACGAGAGACGUACAAAGAUGAUCCACCAGUGCUGCCCAGUUUGAGGACAUUUCCAGUCACAUUAAUGGGGGACAGGAGACCCAGCUUCCAUCAGAGCUGGUCUGAAAGUCAUCGUUGGAUUCUCUGUAAUUAUGGACUCUGCCUGUUUCAGGCCACCAAAUAUGUCAGGCAUGUAUUUUAAACAUUGUGCACAUGUACAGUAUGUGAAACCUUUACUUUGAAAUUCAUUUGGAUAUUUUUUUGAUUUUAUCGUA